rnacentral:sRNA from 1 species
GCAGAGCCGUGGCCCUCUUCUUUGUUCUCUGCUGGAUCCAAGGCUGGUCAUGAACUCCUGACCUCAAUGGAUCCUCCUGCCUCAGCUUCCUGAGUAGCUGGGAUCACAGGUGCACACCACCACACCCAGAUGAAAUUCUGCUGCAAGUGUUUUCCAAGGUUCCGUAUGACCCAUCAUUUGAUGAAACAAGAACAGCAGUCAGAUCCAUUACAAAGAGAGACACACAAAAAAACUAUGUGAAAAUGAGCUUAGCCCCUGGUGUUGUGUUGGAACUUCAGAUGCUUGCAGACACUUCGUGAAUGCUCUGUGACACUCAGAAUAGGCUAUUCCCAACAAAAGAGCUUGAACAGUGCUGCAUUUGCAUCAGGUUCAAAUGAGCGAGAGGAACAUUUGGCUAAAAUAUUUGAUGAAAUUCUACUGCAGGUGUUUCCAAAGGUUCCGUAUCAUCCAUCAUUUAACGAAACAACAGCAGUCAGAUCCAUUACAAAGACAGACAUGAGAAAAGGAACCAGUGUUGUUUGGAAAUCUCCUAAACCAGAAUAUUUCCUUGGCAGUGUGGACAAAAUUCCCGAUAAAGAUCACCUUUCAGAGGAGAAGAGUUUUAAAGAAUCCUCUCUGUUCGACAGGGUUUUAAGAGAGCAGUUAACUACUGUAGAUAAAGAAACA